CAGCUUAGUGAUGACCUAAAAGAACACAGAAGAUUCUCACUGAUUACCUUUGCAAGUGACACAAGACUGGAAGAACUAAAGGUUAUGAAGAGGCCAGUGAUAGAGAGCUUUCUGCCUGAAUUGAUAAGGCUCUUCUACAAGAAUUUCUAGCUGCAACACUCCGAUUGCCUCAUGCUGCUACACAGACAGUGUGAAGGAACAUAGGUAAACAUUUUACAAAGACAACAGCCACUGAAGUGCAAUAUUGACAUGUCACCUUCAAGAAUGCUAGAUUUUGUUGUGUUUUGCUUAAUUUAUUUUGUAUAUUUAUUGGUAUUAACAAAAGCUAAAAUGCUUAUUUAUAAGUAAAAUGCUUACCAUGGAAAAAUGUUGAAUCUGGAAACAGAUCUCUAACAUCUCAGCCAGAAGUGUGACAUUUUUCCUGGGGACAGAUUGUCAGCCAUGACCAAGAAUGGCCCAGCAGAAUUGAGGAUGUAUACAAAUUGGAGACUGUCCAGAAGAAAGCAACAGGAAUGAUAAAAGGUUUAUAAAACAUGAGUGAUGAGGAAAUGUUGAAGGAACCAAGUUUGUUUAGUCUAGAGAAAAAGGACUAUGGGGGGAAAGUAUGAGUUUUUCAAUAAGUAAACAGCUGCUUUAAAGAGGACUGUUAUCAUUUGUACUCCAUGGCCACUGCGAGGAGGACAAAAAUAAAUCAAUGUAAUCUGCGGCAAAGACA